GAUGAACGCUGGCGGCGUGCCUAAUACAUGCAAGUCGAGCGAACAGAUAAGGAGCUUGCUCCUUUGACGUUAGCGGCGGACGGGUGAGUAACACGUGGAUAACCUACCUAUAAGACUGGGAUAACCUCGGGAAACCGGAGCUAAUACCGGAUAACAUAUUGAACCGCAUGGUUCAAUAGUGAAAGGCGGCUUUGCUGUCACUUAUAGAUGGAUCCGCGCCGUAUUAGCUAGUUGGUAAGGUAACGGCUUACCAAGGCAACGAUACGUAGCCGACCUGAGAGGGUGAUCGGCCACACUGGAACUGAGACACGGUCCAGACUCCUACGGGAGGCAGCAGUAGGGAAUCUUCCGCAAUGGGCGAAAGCCUGACGGAGCAACGCCGCGUGAGUGAUGAAGGUCUUCGGAUCGUAAAACUCUGUUAUCAGGGAAGAACAAAUGUGUAAGUAACUGUGCACAUCUUGACGGUACCUGAUCAGAAAGCCACGGCUAACUACGUG
rnacentral:rRNA from 1 species